rnacentral:rRNA from 1 species
UACGUAGGGUGCGAGCGUUGUCCGGAAUUAUUGGGCGUAAAGAGCUCGUAGGCGGUCUGUCGCGUCGGUCGUGAAAACUUGGGGCUUAACCCUGAGCUUGCGGUCGAUACGGGCAUGACUGGAGUUCGGCAGGGGAGACUGGAAUUCCUGGUGUAGCGGUGAAAUGCGUAGAUAUUGGGAGGAACACCCGUGGCGAAGGCGGCUCACUGGACCGGUUCGUGACGCUGAGGCGCGAAAGCGUGGGGAGCAAACGGG